rnacentral:lncRNA from 1 species
CCUUCAAGCAGCGAGCCCUCCCCUGCGUUCGGCCUGGGGCUCCUGAGGCUGCCGCCUACCCUGCGGGGCCCCCUCGGGCCUGCCUGGACCCCAGGGCGGCUUUUCCAGGACCCGGAUGGAUAGGCCGGCCCGCCCCUUGCCCCUGAGCCCCCAGCCCAGGCCGCCUUCUAACACUCUGCAGCCCCCGGCCCCGUUGAGUUUGGCCGUUGGCCGUGGUGGAGACGCCGGGGGUCAGGGGUCAGCGUGUUUCCUGUCCCCACAGUCUCACCUCCCAGGCCCCGGUAGCUCCCAGAGGCGUGGGCCGCCCCCGCGGGUGCUCCUCUGGGCGGGUGGCCUCCGCGCCGCUCCCGGGGAGGCGGGAGCCUGGCCCACAGUACCUGGGCGGUCAGUCAGAGAGAAGGAAGCCAGAGACGGAGGGGGCGUGCUGGUCCCACGUGUGCCAGUUACAGUCACGUGAAACUGUCCCCGUCUGCACCACGGAGGCGCCGGUAACACCUGCUCGCAGGCCCCCUCCCACCCGCUGGCCUCACGGAAAGCUCAUGGGAACCUUCCAGAAAGACUGCAAAAAGCUCCUUUCACUGGCCCUGCUGAUGAGGUCCUGAGGCUGGGACCCACGGCCCAAGUCUCCGCACCCCACCCUCCAGCCCCAGCCUCCCCGCUCCAGCCAGGACUGGGCCCCCCCUGUCCUUUCUGGGUGGAGCUGGUUCCAGGACACGGGGCUCAUCUUCCCCGCUGCUCAGCCCUCGGUCCAGCUUUGUCUCUCAUCUGGGCGCCUCCUGCCAGCCCUCCCAAGGUGGUACCCAAGGCCAAGGCCGGCUCUCCCCUGCUGCGCCCCCCCCAGCUCCUCCUGUCCCCUGCAGCUCCUGGGCUGCACCGGGCAGUGCUGGCCACACCAGGGGCUGCAGGGCUGCGAGCGAUGCGGCAGCACCCAGAACAAACAGAAUUUUUUUUUGCAACUAGAGGGGGAAGCACAGAGCUAAAAAUAAAACGAACCCCUCAGUAUCUGUCA